GAUGAACGCUGGCGGCGUGCCUAAUACAUGCAAGUCGAGCGAAUGGAUUAAGAGCUUGCUCUUAUGAAGUUAGCGGCGGACGGGUGAGUAACACGUGGGUAACCUGCCCAUAAGACUGGGAUAACUCCGGGAAACCGGGGCUAAUACCGGAUAACAUUUUGAACCGCAUGGUUCGAAAUUGAAAGGCGGCUUCGGCUGUCACUUAUGGAUGGACCCGCGUCGCAUUAGCUAGUUGGUGAGGUAACGGCUCACCAAGGCAACGAUGCGUAGCCGACCUGGGCGGGUGAUCGGCCACACGGGGACUGAGACACGGCCCAGACUCCUACGGGAGGCAGCAGUAGGGAAUCUUCCGCAAUGGACGAAAGUCUGACGGAGCAACGCCGCGUGAGUGAUGAAGGCUUUCGGGUCGUAAAACUCUGUUGUUAGGGAAGAACAAGUGCUAGUUGAAUAAGCUGGCACCUUGACGGUACCUAACCAGAAAGCCUCGGCUAACUACGUGCCAGCAGCCGCGGUAA
rnacentral:rRNA from 1 species